AGAGUUUGAUCCUGGCUCAGGACGAACGCUGGCGGCGCGCCUAACACAUGCAAGUCGAACGGAGCUUAGAGAGCUUGCUUUUUAAGCUUAGUGGCGAACGGGUGAGUAACGCGUGAGUAACCUGCCCUAGAGUGGGGGACAACAGUUGGAAACGACUGCUAAUACCGCAUAAGCCCACGGUGCCGCAUGGCACAGAGGGAAAAGGAGCAAUCCGCUUUGAGAUGGCCUCGCGUCCGAUUAGCUAGUUGGUGAGGUAACGGCCCACCAAGGCGACGAUCGGUAGCCGGACUGAGAGGUUGAACGGCCACAUUGGGACUGAGACACGGCCCAGACUCCUACGGGAGGCAGCAGUGGGGGAUAUUGCACAAUGGGGGAAACCCUGAUGCAGCGACGCCGCGUGGAGGAAGAAGGUCUUCGGAUUGUAAACUCCUGUUGUUGAGGAAGAUAAUGACGGUACUCAACAAGGAAGUGACGGCUAACUACGUGCCAGCAGCCGCGGUAAAACGUAGGUCACAAGCGUUGUCCGGAAUUACUGGGUGUAAAGGGAGCGCAGGCGGGAAGACAAGUUGGAAGUGAAAACCAUGGGCUCAACCCAUGAAUUGCUUUCAAAACUGUUUUUCUUGAGUAGUGCAGAGGUAGAUGGAAUUCCCGGUGUAGCGGUGGAAUGCGUAGAUAUCGGGAGGAACACCAGUGGCGAAGGCGGUCUACUGGGCACCAACUGACGCUGAGGCUCGAAAGCAUGGGUAGCAAACAGGAUUAGAUACCCUGGUAGUCCAUGCCGUAAACGAUGAUUACUAGGUGUUGGAGGAUUGACCCCUUCAGUGCCGCAGUUAACACAAUAAGUAAUCCACCUGGGGAGUACGACCGCAAGGUUGAAACUCAAAGGAAUUGACGGGGGCCCGCACAAGCAGUGGAGUAUGUGGUUUAAUUCGA
rnacentral:rRNA from 1 species